rnacentral:lncRNA from 1 species
GGUUUGCGUUUGAAAGUAAUAAAUGUACCUGUAGAUAUGUAAACUAAAUACAUGUAUAUCAUAUAUAGAAAUCCAAAAUAUGUAAAAAGUAAAUAAUUAUUGGUCAAAGUACGGCCUUCGACACGGAGCCUUCGCUCACACUGAUGCAACAUGCACAUAUGAUGUUGUAUAUAGACUGUGACCGUAGUUGUUUGUCUUAAUUGUAUGCCAUGCUUUUGUCCGGCAUUUUUUUAGAUUUAGGAUUUUGUUAGUUCUUUCACUGUCUUCAAAGCAUCUUAUCUGCCAAAAAAUAAACUUACAAAAGUUGCGAAC